GAGGAGUGGCUUCCGGAGCUAACGCGUUAAGUCGACCGCCUGGGGAGUACGGCCGCAAGGUUAAAACUCAWAUGAAUUGACGGGGGCCCGCACAAGCGGUGGAGCAUGUGGUUUAAUUCGAUGCAACGCGAAGAACCUUACCUACUCUUGACAUCCASSGAAYUUKSCAGAGAUGSWUURGUGCCUUCGGGAACSSUGAGACAGGUGCUGCAUGGCUGUCGUCAGCUCKUGUUGUGAAAUGUUGGGUUAAGUCCCGCAACGAGCGCAACCCUUAUCCUUUGUUGCCAGCGAUUCGGUCGGGAACUCAAAGGAGACUGCCGGUGAUAAACCGGAGGAAGGUGGGGAUGACGUCAAGUCAUCAUGGCCCUUACGAGUAGGGCUACACACGUGCUACAAUGGCGCAUACAAAGAGAAGCGACCUCGCGAGAGCAAGCGGACCUCACAAAGUGCGUCGUAGUCCGGAUCGGAGUCUGCAMCUCGACUCCGUGAAGUCGGAAUCGCUAGUAAUCGUGGAUCAGAAUGCCACGGUGAAUACGUUCCCGGGCCUUGUACACACCGCCCGUCWCACCAUGGGAGUGGGUUGCAAAAGAAGUAGGUAGYUUAACCUUCCGGGAGGGCGCUUACCACUUUGUGAUUCAUGAC
rnacentral:rRNA from 1 species